UCACCGGGUGAAAAUUCGCAUG
ensembl:miRNA mir-36 ncRNA